rnacentral:rRNA from 1 species
ACGUAGGGGGCAAGCGUUGUCCGGAAUCAUUGGGCGUAAAGAGCGCGUAGGCGGUCCGGUAAGUCCGCUGUGAAAGUCGGGGGCUCAACCCUCGAAUGCCGGUGGAUACUGUCGGGCUAGAGUCCGGAAGAGGCGAGUGGAAUUCCUGGUGUAGCGGUGAAAUGCGCAGAUAUCAGGAGGAACACCGAUGGCGAAGGCAGCUCGCUGGGACGGUACUGACGCUGAGGCGCGAAAGCUAGGGGAGCAAACGGGA